rnacentral:rRNA from 1 species
UACAGAGGUGGCAAGCGUUGUUCGGAAUUACUGGGCGUAAAGGGCGCGUAGGCGGCCAUCUAAGUCAGACGUGAAAUCCCCCGGCUUAACCUGGGAACUGCGUCGGAUACUGGAUGGCUUGAAUUCGGGAGAGGGAUGCAGAAUUCCAGGUGUAGCGGUGAAAUGCGUAGAUAUCUGGAGGAAUACCGGUGGCGAAGGCGGCAUCCUGGACCGACAUUGACGCUGAUGAGCGAAAGCUAGGGGAGCAAACGGG